rnacentral:rRNA from 1 species
GUGGAUUAGAUACCCUGGUAGUCCACGCCCUAAACGAUGUCGACUGGUUGUUGGGGGUUUGACACUCUCAGUAACGAAGCUAACGCGUGAAGUCGACCGCCUGGGGAGUACGGCCGCAAGGUUAAAACUCAAAGGAAUUGACGGGGACCCGCACAAGCGGUGGAUUAUGUGGAUUAAUUCGAUGCAACGCGAAAAACCUUACCUACCCUUGACAUGUCCUGAAGCCUGGAGAGAUCCGGGUGUGCCCGAAAGGGAACGGGAACACAGGUGCUGCACGGCUGUCGACAACU